rnacentral:rRNA from 1 species
CGUGGUGUUGGGGUGUUCUGCGGCCAGGCCUGCGCCCA